rnacentral:rRNA from 1 species
AACGAACGCUGGCGGCAGGCCUAACACAUGCAAGUCGAGCGGACCUUUCGGGGUCAGCGGCGGACGGGUGAGUAACGCGUGGGAAUAUGCCCUUCUCUACGGAAUAGUCCUGGGAAACUGGGGGUAAUACCGUAUACGCCCUUUGGGGGAAAGAUUAUCGGGGAAGGAUUAGCCCGCGUUGGAUUAGGUAGUUGGUGGGGUAAUGGCCUACCAAGCCGACGAUCCAUAGCUGGUUUGAGAGGAUGAUCAGCCACACUGGGACUGAGACACGGCCCAGACUCCUACGGGAGGCAGCAGUGGGGAAUCUUAGACAAUGGGGGCAACCCUGAUCUAGCCAUGCCGCGUGAGUGAUGAAGGCCUUAGGGUUGUAAAGCUCUUUCAGCUGGGAAGAUAAUGACGGUACCAGCAGAAGAAGCCCCGGCUAACUCCGUG